GUAGUAUUCCCUCCGUCCCAAAAUUCUUGUCUUACAUUUGUUUAGAUAUGGAUGUACCUAACACUAAAAUGUAACUAGAUACAUCCGUAUUUAGACAAAUUUGAGACAAGAAUUUUGGGACGGAGGGAGUACAAA
rfam:Triticum aestivum genome assembly, contig: Triticum_aestivum_CS42_TGACv1_scaffold_146682_2BS